rnacentral:rRNA from 1 species
UACAGAGGGGGCAAGCGUUGUUCGGAAUUACUGGGCGUAAAGGGCGCGUAGGCGGCCUUCUAAGUCGAACGUGAAAUCCCCGGGCUCAACCCGGGAACUGCGUCCGAUACUGGAAGGCUUGAAUCCGGGAGAGGGAUGCGGAAUUCCAGGUGUAGCGGUGAAAUGCGUAGAUAUCUGGAGGAACACCGGUGGCGAAGGCGGCAUCCUGGACCGGCAUUGACGCUGAGGCACGAAAGCGUGGGGGAG